rnacentral:rRNA from 1 species
UACGUAGGGGGCAAGCGUUGUCCGGAAUUAUUGGGCGUAAAGAGCGUGUAGGCGGUCCGGUAAGUCAGCUGUGAAAGUCAAGGGCUCAACCCUUGAAAGCCGGUUGAUACUGUCGGGCUAGAGUCCGGAAGAGGCGAGUGGAAUUCCCGGUGUAGCGGUGAAAUGCGCAGAUAUCGGGAGGAACACCUAUGGCGAAGGCAGCUCUCUGGGACGGUACUGACGCUGAGACGCGAAAGCGUGGGGAGCGAACAGG